UACGUAGGGCGCAAGCGUUGUCCGGAAUUAUUGGGCGUAAAGAGCUCGUAGGCGGUUUGUCGCGUCUGCUGUGAAAACCUAAGGCUCAACCUUGGGCUUGCAGUGGGUACGGGCAGACUAGAGUGCGGUAGGGGUGACUGGAAUUCCUGGUGUAGCGGUGGAAUGCGCAGAUAUCAGGAGGAACACCGAUGGCGAAGGCAGGUCACUGGGCCGGCAA
rnacentral:rRNA from 1 species